GACCUACGUGGACAACCAGAUGAACAGGCGUCUCCGACGAGUUGGUAUGCCAUACGGCUAUGUGGCUCCACGAGUAGAGGCACCACGAUGCUCUCGUCGUCUUUUAGGGUUGGAGCCUGAACCAGUUCUUGUCCCAGUUGCCUCUCCUGAGCUGCCAAGAAAUGAUCAACCUGAACAUUUCGAAGCAGUCGUACCUCGUGCACGAUUAUUCUCCGUCAUGGUUCCUGAAGCAGCUAUUCAAAUUGCUGCUGAAGUUAUCAUUGACGAGGAUGAUAUGGUCGAGGUGGAGUUAGCUGGCGAGGAGCUCUCGGUUCUGGAGUCAACUCUGGAGGAGGAAGAGGUCAUGGAGCUGUCUGUGGAGGCCUCUGUGCUGUGUGGUAUGGACACAACAGUGGAGGACCCAGCCGACUGGUUCCUGGAGGAGACUGUGUCUUUCCUGCCAACAGAGGAGGAGACUGUUGUGUUCGAGGAGGUAGUGGAUGAGGAUGCAACAACCAACCACGCUGAAGAGACUGUCUGGUAUGGUCCUGAAGAGGUUGAGGUUCCAGCCACUCCAGUCACACCGUAUGUUGUUAUAGGUAAUGAUGUAGGUGUUCCUUUGGACUGGGAGGUGAUCCCUGCUCCAGUGGUUGAGGUUGCUCCUGUCCCUGAGGCAGCUGGGAGGUUUGCUGGGUGGAGACAGGUGGCUAGAGUGCUAGGCUGCCUUGUUACUUCAUACCAAACUGUCUCAGCUGUCUUAUUUUUUGGUUAAUUUUUGAUAAAUACAUAUACAUUUUGUAUAUUUUCUUUAAAAAAAAAAUUGGAAAAGUAUAAACUUUUGCUUUAGUUUAAAAAAAAAGUUUGGAAAAGUAUAAAUUUUUGUUUUAGUUUAAAAAAAAAUGUUUGGAAAAGCUAAUUUUUGAAACUUGAAAUUUUUGUUUUGAUUUAUGGUCAUUCAGUUUAUUUUUGAAAGAUUUUCAUUCUUUGCUAAGUAACACAAUUUCUUCAAAACUUCAAAAUGAGUGUUUUAAUAAUUUUGGCUAUUUAAUCAUUAAAGUUUUAUGAAAAUAUUUUGUUUUAAUUUAAAUGAAAGUUUUUAAUGUUUAAUUUACUUAACUUGGAAAUUUAUAAAGAGUGUGUCUGUCUUUUUGUAACCACUGUUCUUUUUAUCCAACACAUGUUAAACUUUCAGGCUGGACAACUGUCAAAAUGGAUCACCAUAAUUAUCAGUCAGGUCAAGGUCAAUCAGUAUAGAUAUCCAAUCAUUUCAGGUCAACAUUUUCUUUUAAAGUUUGGUCAUAGGUUAGAGGUUAAAAGUUCAGGUCAACAUUGACAAGAAUAGAAUGUUCAUUACUCCUUUAAAGGGUAGAGGUCUACUAGAUUUAAGAUCAAACUAUUUGUAAGAAUGGUUAUUUGUAAGGUCAAAGACAUGCAGUGUCAGGUCAAGGUCAAUGUUUACUUCUACAGAAUGAUUAUAUCUGUUAGCAGGAUCACAUAUAUGAUUAAUUCAAUGCUUAAAAGCAACAAGCACAUGUAAGAAGCAUAUUCCUGCUAAACAGCUUUAAAUAUAUGUGUACCUAUUUUCACAAAAAUAGCUCCCUUCCCCAAGGGUUGACUGGGGUAUAAAAAUAUGGUCAUCCCUUGGUCUUCUUCUGACCGGCAGUAAAACGCUUGCCAAAGAUUAGCCACCGUUUAGUAAAUACAUAGCCACAUCCUGUUAAAAUUUAAAAUUUAAAAGUUGCAUGAUUAAUACCAGAGUAACUUUUAACCUGAAGUGUGACAGACGAACGAACAGACAAACAAAAGAACGGACUGACAAACAGACGACUGGGUAAGACCAGAAAACAUAAUGUCUGUCCAUGUAUGGGGCAUAAAAAUCCAGCAUAACAGUGCAACAUUCCAUUUAGCUUUUGAAAUUUUGAUGAAAAAUACAAACUAUUUCCUUUGACUCAUUUAAAACAUUAAAUUGUCACCACCCUUUAGAAAGAAAAUGAACAUUAAAGUCCCCUACAUAAAUUUCAUAGUUUAAAUACAGGAAUUUUUUUCAGAAAUUUUCACUUCUGGAUGAAAGGAUAAAAUUACCACUUCUGUUUUAUAAUUCAUUGAGAGCAUUUAUAAAAAGUAGCAGAUCAGAAGUAAAACAAAAAAAGAAAAUAUCACUAAUUUCCUAUUAAACAUCCCAAAAAUUUCGCAUUUGUUCAUUUUAACCUUGACCACGAUAAAUUAAAGAAUAUAUUUGGUAUACAUCAAUGAGGGGUACUUAACAACAAAAACAAGGCGUCUUUAGGUCAACAUAGUCCAACAAAGAUAGGCAUCUAUACAAUAUGUUGAGUGUUUAUAGUUCAAAAUUAGUCGACAAAAUUUACUAAAUAUCUAUAAAGAAAAAAGUCGACAAAAUUUACUAAAUAUCUAUAAAGAAAAAAGUCGACUAAAUUUUACUAAAUAUCUAUAAAGAAAAAAGUCCACAAAAUUUACUAAAUAUCUAUAAAGAAAAAAGUCCACAAAAUUUACUAAAUAUCUAUAAAGAAAAAAGUCCACAAAAUUUACUAAAUAUCUAUAAAGAAAAAAGUCCACAAAAUUUACUAAAUAUCUUUAAAGAAAAAAGUCCACAAAAUUUACUAAAUAUCUAUAAAGAAAAAAGUCCACAAAAUUUACUAAAUAUCUUUAAAGAAAAAAGUCGACUAAAUUUUACUAAAUAUCUAUAAAGAAAAAAGUCGACAAAAUUUACUAAAUAUCUAUAAAGAAAAAAGUCCACAAAAUUUACUAAAUAUCUAUAAAGAAAAAAGUCCACAAAAUUUACUAAAUAUCUUUAAAGAAAAAAGUCCACAAAAUUUACUAAAUAUCUAUAAAGAAAAAAGUCCACAAAAUUUACUAAAUAUCUUUAAAGAAAAAAGUCGACUAAAUUUUACUAAAUAUCUAUAAAGAAAAAAGUCCACAAAAUUUACUAAAUAUCUUUAAAGAAAAAAGUCGACAAAAUUUACUAAAUAUCUAUAAAGAAAAAAGUCGACUACAUUUUACUAAAUAUCUAUAAAGAAAAAAGUCCACAAAAUUUACUAAAUAUCUAUAAAGAAAAAAGUCGACUAAAUUUUACUAAAUAUCUAUAAAGAAAAAAGUCCACAAAAUUUACUAAAUAUCUAUAAAGAAAAAGUCCACAAAAUUUACUAAAUAUCUAUAAAGAAAAAAGUCCACAAAAUUUACUAAAUAUCUAUAAAGAAAAAAGUCCACAAAAUUUACUAAAUAUCUUUAAAGAAAAAAGUCCACAAAAUUUACUAAAUAUAAAGAAAAAAGUCCACAAAAUUUACUAAAUAUCUAUAAAGAAAAAAGUCCACAAAAUUUACUAAAUAUAAAGAAAAAAGUCCACAAAAUUUACUAAAUAUCUAUAAAGAAAAAAGUCCACAAAAUUUACUAAAUAUCUAUAAAGAAAAAAGUCCACAAAAUUUACUAAAUAUAAAGAAAAAUUCAACUAAAUUUACUAAAUAUCUAUAAAGAAAAAAGUCGACUAAAUUAACUAAAUAUCUAUUAAAAAUAAUAAUAAAGCAAAAUAAUUAAAAAUUCUUUUUUCUUGCAAUUAAAUAAGUUUAAAGUUUUUAAUUCAGUAAAAGAUUUGGGCUUUCAACAACUUGAUGUGAAUGAUAUUGCAUUAUUAUAGUGUCUGAGUACAACAUUAUUACAUAACUUGCUGGGUUAAAAUUUCUUUUUUUACAAAAAUAUAAAGUAUAUCCGAAGUUUACACUGGCAAGUCAAGUAUAACAAUGUAUCUAACACCGCACAAUCUGCAUAAACCUGCAUACCUGCAUAGGAUAAUUAGCAUUGCAUAUAUAAAUUAACAUGUAAAGCUUAUGCUGGCUUGCUGAUGUUUUCUUUCAUUGUUCUAUUUAAUUAACCCCUAGCCCAAUAUAGCAACAUCUAUUUAAAAUUGACCUGGGACUUGGAUUUUGGGCAGGUAGGGAGGAAUAAGGGAAAUACCUUGGCCUGGGAUUUAAGGGCUUAAAGAAAAGGGAGGGGAAACCCAGGGACUCUGGUGAAGUGGGGAGAUAAAAGGAGAGGGGAAACCCAGGGCCUGGUGUAUUUGGGGAGAUAAAAGAGGGAGAAGGUUACAUCCACGGCCUGGUGUAUUUGGGGAGAUAAAAGAGGGAGAAGGUUACAUCCACGGCCUGGUGAACUGGGGGAGAUAAAAGAGGGAAUGGGGAAAGAGUUGCUGUCCAUUGAAUGAAGUAAGUUAUGUGUUAAUGUUGUAUUCACAUUGUUGUGAUGAUUUUAUUGUUGCUUUGAAGUUUGUGGAGCAUAAAUACCCCAGUACUUUUGGAUAAAAAUGAUAAUGAAAAAAUAUUCCCAUUUAAACUUUCAGUUUUUAAUAAAGAUAUUCCAGUGUUCAAAUUAACCAUUAAAGUGGUCUUUCUUAAAGUUGUCAAACAAGAACCAAAGUGUACCUUUUAAACUUUAAAAUAUCAAUUGAACAUUUAAUUAGAAACCUUUGGUUUAAACAUUUAUGCGUGUUUCUGAGUUCCUUUCAUUAAAAUUGAGUAAAUAAAAUCUCACUCUAUUUAAACAAUUUUGUGUUGUAAAAAAAACACAAAAACAUACAAUUAAGUACUUGACCUAUAGUAUAGAAACUUGUUUUUGUUGGAGACUAUAUUGACCUCUGGGGUCCAGGUUUUUUGUGUUGUUUAGUUGCUUUCUCAAUAACAUAAUCCCUAAAGUCAUUUUCAAUUAAUCAUAGACAAAGGACUAAUUAUAAAAAACCCAGAAUAACCAAAUCCUUCAUAUUAACUUAUAAUAACUGUUAAAUUUUCCUUCAAAUUAAAUAUAUGUUUCACACAUCUCCUUCGUUUAGAUAAAAUUUUAAAGUGAAACAGAGAAUGGAAGCCAAAUAUUUAAAAUUUAGAUUAAUUGAAAUAGCCUCCCCUCUUAAAAAAAAUAUAGAACAAAUUUUAACAGAAAAAAGGGGGACGGAAACCUAAAGAUACAGAAUUAAAAUAAAGUGAUAAAAAGAUCCUCCGUACUUUUGUAAACUUCUUUUUAAAGUUUUAAAUUUGGUAAAUUAGAUGUUCCCUGAAUUUAGAGUAUCCAUGGGAACAUGUCCCAUUUUUACCAGAAAUUAAUAUACCCAUAGGAACAUUACGGUACAUGUUCCUCUCCAUAGUAAUAAAGGUAUCCAUUGGAACAUCACAUGUUCCUCUCCAAAGUAAUAAAGGUAUCCAUUGGAACAUCACAUGUUCCUCUCCAAAGUAAUGAAGGUAUCCAUUGGAACAUCACAUGUUCCUCUCCAAAGUAAUAAAGGUAUCCAUUGGAACAUCACAUUUUCCUCUCCAAAGUAAUAAAGGUAUCCAUUGGAACAUCACAUGUUCCUCUCCAAAGUAAUGAAGGUAUCCAUAGGAACAUCACAUGUUCCUCUCCAAAGUAAUGAAGGUAUCCAUAGGAACAUCACAUGUUCCUCUCUAAAGUAAUAAAGGUAUCCAUUGGAACAAGUAAUAAAGGUGUCCAUAGGAACAUCACAUGUUCCUCUCCAAAGUAAUGAAGGUAUCCAUAGGAACAUCACAUGUUCCUCUCCAAAGUAAUAAAGGUAUCCAUAGGAACAUCACAUGUUCCUCUCCAAAGUAAUGAAGGUAUCCAUAGGAACAUCACAUGUUCCUCUCCAAAGUAAUGAAGGUAUCCAUAGGAACAUCACAUGUUCCUCUCCAAAGUAAUAAAGGUAUCCAUUGGAACAUCACAUGUUCCUGUCCAAAGUAAUGAAGGUAUCCAUAGGAACAUCACAUGUUCCGCUCCAAAGUAAUGUUCCGCUCCAAAGUAAUGAAGGUAUCCAUAGGAACAUCACAUGUUCCUCUCCAAAGUAAUAAAGGUAUCCAUAGGAACAUCACAUGUUCCUCUCCAAAGUAAUAAAGGUAUCCAUUGGAACAUCACAUGUUCCUCUCCAAAGUAAUGAAGGUAUCCAUAGGAAUAUCACAUGUUCCUCUCCAAAGUAAUGAAGGUAUCCAUAGGAACAUCACAUGUUCCUCUCCAAAGUAAUAAAGGUAUCCACAGUAACAUCCCAUGUGUCUUACCAAUAGAAAUAAGUCAUCCAUAGGAACAUGGGAGCCUCGGUGGCCAAGUGGUCUAAGUUGUUACUACUGUAAUCACUAGCCAGUCAACACUGAGGUUGUGAAUUCAAACCCUGCUCGUGCGGGUGCACAUGACUCCAAUCUUAAUUGACUUAGGGUUGUCAGUUUUCCUAUUGAAGGUCAGUGGUUUUCUCCAGCCACUCUGGCUUCCUCCACCAAUACAAACUGGCCGCCAUGAAAUAGCCAAAGUAGUGCUUAAAAGUGGCGUUAAAACACCAAAAAAUCAAAUUCAAAUCCAUAGGUGCACUGCAUGCUCCAAAUUUACUGGUAUCUGAUAUCCAUUGGAAUCCAAAUUUAGUUGUUCAGUUUGUAUUGAUGACAGAAUUGGCUUUACAAUGAACUUUGAACUCAAAGAAAUGGAUACACAUGUUUCAGAAAAGUGAGUUUGGUACCUAUAUCUCUUUUCACACUUUUGUUGUUUUUAAAUAAUUUGUAAAUUUUAUUGUAAAUGUAACAUAUUUAAGUUGUCAAAUUUUUGUGUAAAAAGGGGAAUGACCAUUUCAAAACUGUUUUUCAAUAUUUUUGUUAAAGAUUUUCAGAAGGAAACAGAAAAAUUAUUUAUAAAAAUGUGGAUAGUGUCAAAUGUGUAUAUAGUUUUAAGAAAAAUAGAAAAAAACAAAAAAAUGCAUGGGUGAUGGUUUUUAAUGAUUUUAAGAAAAAUAGAAAAAAAAAAAAAAAAAAAUAUGCAUGGGUGAUGGUUUUUAAUGAUUUUAAGAAAAAUAGUAAAAAAAAAAAAAAUAUGCAUGGUUGAUGGUUUUUAAUGAUUUUAAGAAAAAUAGAAAAAAAAAAAAAAAAAAAUAUGCAUGGGUGAUGGUUUUUAAUGGUUUUAAGAAAAAUAGAAAAAAAAAGAAAAAAAAUGCUUGGGGUUUAAUUAUAUUGUGAUGCAGAAAUGGGUCCAUUAUUUUAUCUUGAAUUUGGGAUUUAAUUAUAUCAUGAUAUGGAAUGGAUACAUUCUUUUAACUUGAAUUUGGGAUUUAAUUAUAUCAUGAUACGGAAUGGAUACAUUCUUUUAACUGGAAUUUGGGGGAUUUAAUAAUAUCAUGAUACAGAAUGGAUACAUUCUUUUAAUUGGAAUUUGGGGGAUUAAAAUAAACCCUUUAAAAAAGUGGGGGUAUACUGUUUUACCUAUGUCUGUCUGUCCAUCAUUCAGUCUGUCAGCAUCAACAAUACAAGGAUUUCUGAAAUUUGGUUCAGUGUUGAUAAAAUGCAGCUAAACUGUGCGAUGCAUUUUCAGAUUCAUCACUCAACAACUUCCUGUUAACCAAACACUUGUAUCAUUUACACAUGAUAGCUAAGGUUGAAAUUACCUUUUUAUCAGGAACUUCAAUACAAGGAUUUCUGAAAUUUGGUUUCAGGGCUGAUAAAAGUCAGCUAUACUGUGUGAGGCGUUUUUGGUUUCGCAACUCGACAACUUCCUGCGUACUGAAGUAUAUGUUGGGGGUAUCCUCAGUGGGCAGUAGCUCACAGUUUCACUUGUUUUACCAUGAUACGGAAUGGAUACAUUCUUUUAACUUGAAUUUUGGAUUUAAUUAUAUCAUGAUACGGAAUGGAUACAUUCUUUUAACUUGAAUUUUGGAUUUAAUUAUAUCAUGAUACGGAAUGGAUACAUUCUUUUAACUGGAAUUUGGAGGAUUUAAUUAUAUCAUGAUACGGAAUGGAUACAUUCUUUUAACUGGAAUUUUGGAUUUAAUUAUAUCAUGAUACGGAAUGGAUACAUUCUUUUAACUGGAAUUAAAUAUAAUUAAGAGUAUACAUUUUUAUUUCUGAGGAUUGUUUUGAUAUAUGUAAGUGAACAGCAACCAACAACACAAACAAAAAAACGUCAAAAGAUUAGUUAAUACAUUUUAAAUAAAGAUAAAUAAUGUUAAUACCUUUUGUCCUUCAUUUGGAAUUUUCAAGAUAAAAUAAUAUGGAAAUUUAUAAAUGAAAAGGAAUAAUGAUAUAUUCCCUUUAAAUUUUAAUAAAACCAUAAUUCAUGUCUGAUGUUAAAGAUAAAGUUAAAAAAUGGUGAAAUAAUUUUUCAAAUUUUCAAAUUUUAGAUCAAAUUGCCCUUAAAAAUCAGACGUAGAACAUAUAUGUAUCAGCUAUUCCUAAACCAUUUUACAGAUUUUUAAAGGAACUUUCAGAACAGAACAUUUAAGAUACCAAUUUUGUAAUGCAAGGUUUAUCAGUAUAAUUUUGGGAAUUUCCCAAAGUAAAGGAUGUUAGUCUGAGAAAGAUCUCCAACCCUUCCGGGAUACAUUAUUCUGACUCAGAGUCAACUAGACUUUGCUCUUACUUUUAAAUACUACUUGCUUAAGGGAGAAGCAGCAAAUACCCCUUUUAAAGUCUUUGGUUUGUCCAUACAUGGGAUAGAGCCCUUUACCUCCAACACAUCAGGCAAGCAUAGGACCAUUGAGGAGGUUAUAAUUGGUAGUGAAAAGUAUUCUUUUUAAAAUAUUCAUAUUCAUUUUAUUUUUGUUUAUUUGUUCAUUCUGUUGUUCAAUUCCUAGUAGUAACAGAAAACACCAAUUUUUAUAUUUGGUUUAAAAAUAUUUAAUUGAAAAGUAUGUCUCCAUGCAAAAUUAUCCAUCCCUCUACAGGUUGUAUCUUAAUAUAAAAAACAUCUUAUUCUUAAAGUAUCAACACUAACCAUUACUAACAAUUGGUACUUAAUUAAAUAGGUUGGAAGGAUGGAAGACAAGAGAGGGAGAGAAAUGAGAGGGGAGGGGAUAGGGGAGAGAGAAUAGAGACUGAUGGAGUGAGUUUUCAGAUAAGGGUUUAAGGUACUAGUCUUGUAGAGGGAUAGGUUUUUAAUAUCUUCUUUUAGAAAGAGAACUUCUUGUUAACAAUAUGAAUAUGAGUAGGAAUACAAACCAAUUUUUAUUUUUGGUAUGCAAAUCCAGUCUGAAAGUCUGUUUUAAAAUAAUGGGUCUAUUACAUUUCAAAAUUAUUUCCAAGUCUGUAAAAUUUUUGUGACCCCAGUGGCCGAUCCAGGGGUUGGGGUUGGAACUCCCCCCUUUUUUUUAAUGAUAAUGCAUUUGAAUGGGGACAUAUAUUUAAAACCCGCACUUUCUCCUUGGUUGGAUCCCCCUUUUUUUAAAGAUUGCUGGUUCCGCCCCUGAACCCUUUCUCCCUUCCUAUUUGGUAAAGACAUAUAAGAUUGUGUCCAUAGUACACGGAUGCCCCAUCCGCACUAUCAUUUUUUAAGUUCAGUGGACUUUUGAAUAUGGAGGAAAAAACUCUAAUUUGGCAUUAAAAUUAGAAAGAUGAUAUCAUAGGAAACGUGUACAAAGUUGAUUGGACUUCAUCAAAAACUACCUCAUCUAAAAAAUUUUACCUGAAGCAGGACGAACGAACGGAGGCACAGACCAGAAAACAUAAUGCCCAUAAAUGAGGCAUAAUAAAUGUUUGCAUUGGAAAACUCCCUUAAUAAUUUGUAUAACAACAGCCAGUCUAGCCUGUCAUAAUUCAGUAACUACAAGCUAUUUAUCUAUUCUGGAAAGAUGUGACUGUUUCAACCCCACUUGUAGUACUCCUGGCAAGGCUGCCAGUUUUUAUUGGCGGAAGCCAUAUAAAUGGCACCUGAAAAAACACCGACCUUCAGUGUCUUUUAAUGUUGUCCAAAGUUUCUGUUGAAAUGUUUGUACUGGUUUGAGGUAUUGCUGAUUAAAAGUGUAGAUGUCUGAAUAAACAAAAAACAUCCUUUAUCAUGUUUUAGAUUAAAAAGUAAUUAUAUCCAAAUUUCCAAUUUAGUUUCAGCACAAACGUUAAAGAUAAUUGUUGCAGAAGCCCUUUUUAUUUAAAGGAAACAAUAUCAGAUUUUAAAUUUUGAAUCUUCCAAAAUAAAUCUUUUCAGUUUUGUAAAGUGGUACAUUGUGAAAUUUAUAAUUAAAAAAAUAAAUCUUUUCUAAUAAUAAGGGACAUAACUCUCCAAUGGUAAAAAAAUACUAAACCCAUCAAAAUAAUGUAAAUGCUUAAAGCAGCUUUCAGAUUUGUUAGUUUGUAAAUACAAAAUUAGCCUCCUCUUGGCCAAAUGAAACUUAAUUAACUUUGUAAUAGAAUUUUCCAUGCCAAAAACACUUUUAUUGGAUAAAAAAUAUGAAGUAAAAACAGUGACCUUUAUAAUCUUAAGCUUUUGUGGUACGAGAAAAAAAAUCAUCAAAGAUACUUAUUAUUUGGCCACAACAUUUAAUAAUUUUUUAGACACCUAUUAUCACAGAAUAUAAUUUUUGCCAUCUUAAUUAUAUUGUUAAGUGUGUUGUUGGCAUGCUGUCUCAUUGAAAUAUACCUCAGAUCCUCUUUUAUCUUAUUCAAGAUUUUCAGAAAAGCAAUUUUAAAAUCUGUUAAAGGUUUAUUCUCUAAAUAAAUAGAAUAAUUGGUCCAGUGAUCAAUGAAGAAUGUAAAUGAGAUGUGGUAAAAAUGCCAAUGAGAUGUGUUAAUACAACUAAUGAGAUGCGCUAAGAAUGCAAAUGAAAUGUGGUAAAAAUGCCAAUGAGAUAAAGCUAAAGAUAUGUUGUAAUAAUGCUAAUGAGAUGUGGUAAUAAAUCUAAUGAGAUGUGGUAAUAAAGCUAAUGAGAUGUGGUUAUUAAGCUAAUGAGAUGCGCUUAGAAUGCCAAUGAGAUGUGUU